UUUUGACUGAAUACUGUGGGAUUUUAAUGUCAUAUGUUUUAUUAAUAUUGUAUUUAGAAGUGUUUUCAAUAAUCAUUAUAGUAUGCUAAAGUAAAAGAUUGUUUGUGUUUGUCUGAGAGAGUGGAAAGUUACUGAGAGGAAGCAGCCUCUGUGUUUGCAAAAGUUACAAGGUCAUGGUUGGAUUAGUGAGGAAUUUGCAGCUGGCAAAGGUCAAGAUAAAGAGAGAGGCUUAAAAAGGAAAAGCAAACAGACAACUAUGUAUUAACUAAUGCUUUAAUAUUUACAGGAUAAAAUAUGCAAUAUAUUCCUUACUUAAUCAGUAUUAAUCAUUGAAUAAUUGAUGUAAUAAAGAUAUGAUGUUGUCUUUGAUAAAUGUGUAUUAACCAAUGAAAUGAAGGUUGCAUACAAAAUAAUCUAAUGGGGGGAUGGCAGCUCAACCUUGAAAAACAGAAUCUCCUGCGCUUGUUCUUUGUGUGUGUAUUCUUCCCUAACAGAUGUUUUUUUAAUAAUGAUUAAAGUGUUUGCUUAGAAGUAGUAUUGCAGUAAAAGAUGUAAUAUGUGUUUAUCUAUCUAAAGAAGUUAAUGUGUGCCUUAUUCAUAUAACCAAUUUUACGAAUAAUGAAAUGAUGUCAUGAUAUUGAAAUGUGUUUUACAUAAUAAUCACUUUCAUCUUACAGCUUAUGUUUUUUAUGAAUAAAUGAAUGUUUUAUUAAUGAUUUGUUUUUAAGAAAGCAUUAUUAUAUUCUAUGUGAAGUCAAUCAUAUGUGAAGUGGAGGAGUACUGGGGAGAAAGUGACGGACUGCAUGGCCCUCAGGGAUGAGCGGAGAAAAGUUUGUUUUUUCUUUGUGUGUGUGUGUCUAUCUCCUGCAGACUAAAAUUGGGUGGUGAUGGAGUCAGAUGUACGAGGGGAACGGCCUUUGUGGGUGGAGACUCUAAGAAGAAAGAUCGACGUCACAUAUUUUAUAAAUAUGCAUGUUACUCUUUGAGCUGGUUGUUCAUUGCUUGAGAUGACCCAGUGCGCUGUAAAACUUUUUCAUAUCUGAUCAAUAAAUAACUUAAUUUUAAUACCGUGUCUUUCCUCCAAUUAUGAACAUGCAGAUGGACGCCUUAAAGUCCAACAAUACAUGUUUGUUUUAUUUGUCUAUAUCCUAGAUUAGCAGCUGGACACAUCCUUCUACACUGUAUGCAAACAUGCAACAUCAUUACACACAGUACAAGGAGUCAGACUGGCAUAUGAGGAGCAAAGGAACCCAGGCAGUAGCAUCGUUUCACAAUGUUUCAAUCACCAUCAUCAGUGGAUGCCUUUGCCGUCCGUAGCCUGAGAUUUCAGAUUUGCAGCAAAAAAUUUGACUUUCCCAUUUAUUGGAAUGCUGUGCAGGUUGUACCUUGCAGCCAUCCAUUACAAUGUCACCAAGCCGUAACAAAAGCAGCAGAGGGAAAGUAUAAGGCUAUGUUCCCAAAACACACAAGUGAC